rnacentral:tRNA from 1 species
GGGGCCUUAGCUCAGCUGGGAGAGCGCAUCGCUGGCAGCGAUGAGGUCAGGGGUUCGAUCCCCCUGGGCUCCA